AGUAGACAUGCGAAUCACUUAUAAACACGUAGCACAUAACACUUAGCAUGCAUAUCUAGAUGCUCAAAACCUAAGAAAGCGAUGAAACAUAUAGCACAUAGACAUGCAAGACACAUAAGGCAACUAAGGCCCUAACUAUUACAUUUUUAGGGGAAGAAGGCCUAUACAAUCUAGGAGGGGGGAACGGAAUAAAAAUAAUAACCUAGCUAUUACAACUUGGCAUUCAAGUGCCUUCAAAUCACUUGCAAAUUAAGAAAAAUGAAAUAAAAGAAAGCGAAAUAGGCAAUUAAACAUGAAAUGAUAAGCGAAUUAAAGCAUGCAUAUUCACACAUAACACAUAGGAGCACGU
rnacentral:lncRNA from 1 species